GGGCCAGUAGCUCAGUCGGUUAGAGCAGCGGACUCAUAAUCCGCCGGUCCUCGGUUCAAGCCCGAGCUGGCCCA
rnacentral:tRNA from 1 species